rnacentral:rRNA from 1 species
GACGAACGCUGGCGGCGUGCUUAACACAUGCAAGUCGAACGGAAAGGCCCAGCUUGCUGGGUGCUCGAGUGGCGAACGGGUGAGUAACACGUGGGUGAUCUGCCCCUAACUUCGGGAUAAGCUUGGGAAACUGGGUCUAAUACCGGAUAGGACAAUCGUUUAGUGUCGGUUGUGGAAAGUUUUUUCGGUUAGGGAUGAGCCCGCGGCCUAUCAGCUUGUUGGUGGGGUAAUGGCCUACGAAGGCGUCGACGGGUAGCCGGCCUGAGAGGGUGGACGGCCACAUUGGGACUGAGAUACGGCCCAGACUCCUACGGGAGGCAGCAGUGGGGAAUAUUGCACAAUGGGCGCAAGCCUGAUGCAGCGACGCCGCGUGGGGGAUGACGGCCUUCGGGUUGUAAACCUCUUUCGACAGGGACGAAGCUUUGGUGACGGUACCUGUAUAAGAAGCACCGGCUAACUACGUG